rnacentral:rRNA from 1 species
UACGGAGGGUGCAAGCGUUAUCCGGAUUCACUGGGUUUAAAGGGUGCGUAGGUGGGUUGGUAAGUCAGUGGUGAAAUCUCCGAGCUUAACUUGGAAACUGCCAUUGAUACUAUCAAUCUUGAAUAUUGUGGAGGUCAGCGGAAUAUGUCAUGUAGCGGUGAAAUGCUUAGAGAUGACAUAGAACACCAAUUGCGAAGGCAGCUGGCUACACAUAUAUUGACACUGAGGCACGAAAGCGUGGGGAGCAAACAGG